rnacentral:rRNA from 1 species
GACGAACGCUGGCGGCGUGCUUAACACAUGCAAGUCGAACGGAAAGGCCUGCUUUCCCUUGUGGAUUGCGGGUACUCGAGUGGCGAACGGGUGAGUAACACGUGAGUGAUCUGCCCCCAACUUGGGUAUAAGCCUGGGAAACUGGGUCUAAUUCCCGAUAGGACUGCAGGGUGGUGCCUGUGGUGGAAAACGAUUUUCUAGUGGUUGGGGAUGAGCUCGCGGCCUAUCAGCUUGUUGGUGGGGUAAUGGCCUACCAAGGCGGCGACGGGUAGCCGGGCUGGGAGGGUGGACGGCCACAGUGGGACUGGGAUACGGCCCAGACUCCGACGGGAGGCAGCAGUGGGGAAUAUUGCACAAUGGGCGGAAGCCUGAUGCAGCGACGCCGCGUGGGGGAUGACGGCCUUCGGGUUGUAAACUCCUUUCGAGCGCGAGGAAGCCACCUGGUUGGAAGGGUGGUGACGGUAGUGGUAGAAGAAGCACCGGCUAACUACGUG